rnacentral:rRNA from 1 species
UACGUAGGGGGCUAGCGUUGUCCGGAUUUAUUGGGCGUAAAGAGCGUGUAGGCGGCCAGAUAGGUCUGCUGUGAAAACUCGAGGCUCAACCUCGAGACGUCGGCGGAAACCAUCUGGCUAGAGUCCGGAAGAGGAGAGUGGAAUUCCUGGUGUAGCGGUGAAAUGCGCAGAUAUCAGGAAGAACACCCGUGGCGAAGGCGGCUCUCUGGGACGGUACUGACGCUGAGACGCGAAAGCGUGGGGAGCAAACGGG